UUAUCAUUUAGAGGAAGGAGAAGUCGUAACAAGGUUUCCGUAGGUGAACCUGCAGAAGGAUCAUUGUCAUUUCUAGAACCACAACCGGCGAACCAGUCCCACGAGAACGCGCCGUGGGGGGGUGAACCCCAGGACGCACGUCCCCGCGAGCUCUAAACAACCCUUUGGGCGCAGUGAGCGCCAAGGAAUCGAAGCGGAAAGGGCGGCCGCCCCACCCGGUGCAAGCACACCCCGACCGGGGAUGCAGUACCGACAUGGGGAUCCGCCGCCCGUCUGUGAAUCAUUUAAAUCACUCUCGGCAACGGAUAUCUCGGCUCUCGCAUCGAUGAAGAACGUAGCGAAAUGCAAUACUUUGUGUGAAUUGGAGAAUCCUGUAAACCAUCGAGUCUUUGAACGCAAGUUGCGCCCGAGGCCACUCGGCCAAGGGCACACCCACCUGGCCGUCACACCACCCAUUGCCCCCCGCCGCGGCAUUCCCAUGCCCCGUCGGGGACCAGAGACUGGCCAUCCGAGCCCAAGCCCUCUACGCGCGAUCGGCAAAAACGGACACCGUGCGGCGCGACACGGCAUGUGGGGGUUGAGAGGCGAUUCGUCGCCGAUCGUACGUCACGCCCUCAUUCUGUCGCGGGACCAGACUCGCCCGCAGCCACAGGCGCUCGGACCGCGACCCAAGUCAGGCGUGGCCACCCGCUGAAUUUAAGCAUAU
rnacentral:misc_RNA from 1 species